GUGCUUGCUUAGGCAGCACAUAUUCUAAAGCUGGAACAAACAGAGAAGGUUAGCAUGAUCCCUCCAUAAGGAUGACACGCAAAUUCAUGAAGUGUUCCAUUUUUUU
rnacentral:snRNA from 1 species